rnacentral:rRNA from 1 species
AACGAACGCUGGCGGCAGGCCUAACACAUGCAAGUCGAACGCUCCAGCAAUGGAGAGUGGCAGACGGGUGAGUAACGCGUGGGAACCUUCCCUAUGGUUCGGAAUAGCCCAGGGAAACUUGGGGUAAUACCGAAUAAGCCCUUCGGGGGAAAGAUUUAUCGCCAUUGGAUGGGCCCGCGUCGGAUUAGCUAGUUGGUGGGGUAACGGCCUACCAAGGCGACGAUCCGUAGCUGGUCUGAGAGGAUGAUCAGCCACACUGGGACUGAGACACGGCCCAGACUCCUACGGGAGGCAGCAGUGGGGAAUAUUGGACAAUGGGCACAAGCCUGAUCCAGCCAUGCCGCGUGAGUGACGAAGGCCUUAGGGUUGUAAAGCUCUUUUGGCGGGGAAGAUAAUGACGGUACCCGCAGAAUAAGCUCCGGCUAACUUCGUGCCAGCAGCCGCAGUAACAC